rnacentral:rRNA from 1 species
GACGAACGCUGGCGGCGUGCUUAACACAUGCAAGUCGAACGGAAAGGCCCUGCUUGCCGGGUACUCGAGUGGCGAACGGGUGAGUAACACGUGGGUGAUCUGCCCUGCACUUCGGGAUAAGCCUGGUAAACUGGGUCUAAUACCUGAUAGGAGCCAUUUUUAGUGUGAUGGUUGGAAAGUUUUUUCGGUUUUGGAUGAGCUCGCUGCCUAUCAGCUUGUUGGUGGGGUAAUGGCCUACCAAGGCGGCGACGGGUAGCCGGCCUGAGAGGGUGGACGGCCACAUUGGGACUGAGAUACGGCCCAGACUCCUAAGGGAGGCAGAAGGGGGGAAUAUUGCACAAUGGGCGCAAGCCGGAUGCAGCGACGCCGCGUGGGGGAUGACGGCCUUAGGGUUGUAAACUCCUUUCGCUAGGGACGAAGCUUUUUGUGACGGUACCUAGAUAAGAAGCACCGGCUAACUACGUG